GAUGAACGCUGGCGGCGUGCUUAAUACAUGCAAGUCGAACGGAAAGGUCCUGCUUUUGUUCCUUUCUCGUUUGGCGCACGCGUGUGUAACACGUGUGUAUCCUCUCCUUGUCUUUGUGAUAUCUUUACGAAACUGCGGCUCUUAUCCCGUAUAAUCUCUUGCUGCAUGUUGUUCGUUGGUAAGUUUCGGCGGUGCGGGAUGGACUCGCGGCUUAUCAGCUUCUUGGUGUCGUAGUUGCUUACCAAGCCUUUGACGGGUAGCCGGCCUGAGAGGGUGACCGGGCACAUUGGGACUGAGAUACGGCCCAGACUCCUACGGGAGGCAGCAGUGGGGAAUAUUGCACAAUGGGCGGAAGCGUGAUGCAGCAACGCCGCGUGCGGGAUGACGGCCUUCGGGUUGUAAACCGCUUUCGCAUGUGACGAAGCGUGAGUGACGGUAAUGGGUAAAGAAGCACCGGCUAACUACGUG
rnacentral:rRNA from 1 species